AGCAGCCGCGGUAAUUCCAGCUCCAAUAGCGUAUAUUAAAGUUGUUGCAGUUAAAAAAGACUCGUAGUUGAAUUUCGAGAUCAGUACGCCGGUCGUGCCUUCGGUAUGAACUGGUGUCACUGGUUUCUCCCUUCUGAAGAACCAUCAUGCCAUUCAGUUGGUGUGGCGGGGAAUCAGGACUGUUACUUUGAAAAAUUAGAGUGUUUAAAGCAGGCUCGCGCUU
rnacentral:rRNA from 1 species